UUUGCUUUUGCUUCAUAUGACUAGAAAAUGUUCAUCCAACAUGCGCUUGCUUGCUCCCAUUACAUUUACACAUUUACAUUUACAAUAGAAGUUGAAAUUUGAGAAAUUCACAAAAUUAGGGUUUGUGAUUCCAUGUGGACCACCACACUGGGCCCCAAGCAUGGGUAAUACGGGCAACGUUCACGCGGAACCUUACUGGGUUUUGUCCACGUGGACGCUUUCCUGACCCAACAUUGGAUUUGGCACGUUCCAUGGUGGACCCAAUUUUGUGGAGCAUCUUUUCCUUCAUCUCCUGUUUGGUGCAUGCACCAUUAUUAAUCAGAAAUGAGAUUGUGAUAUGGUUUUUUUAUUUAUAAAUUUUCCAGAGAUUAAAAGAUUUGAGGUCCUAAAAUUGACUGAUCAGAGAGAGUUGGCUGGACGCUGGAGGUUUUGGAGGUGGAAAUUGACUUGGAGAGCAGGAAAGAGAUUUGGAGGGUGUGGAAAUUCACGUGUGUGUAUGAACUUCACGUGACAUUUGUUUCCAUGUCCAUGGAAUUUGGUAUCCAGCAGCAUAGAGCCUUUGUUGACAUGAGCCCACUGGGUCAGUGAUUUGCAUGACAUUGCAUGAUAGGGUCUCUCGGUUACUUCCACGUGUUCAGCCAACCAAGGCGACAAAACCCAUAAAUUAUUUCCCAACUUCCCUACCUCCUCCGUUUCAUUGCCCUAUUUUUUCUAUUUUUCCUCAUGUCACCUGUCAGAUAAUGAGAGAAAAUAAAAAGCGAGACAAUGAAGCGGAAAUAGAGAAGUAUAAUUUCUUGUAAGGAAUGGAAUUGAUGAUUGAUAUUGCAGUCAUGGGAGCCACAUAUCCAUUUUAUGAGCAUGGCUAUAAGUUGGUUAAAUUUAUAUCUAAUUGUCUUCUUUAAUUUAAAGCACAUGGAUUACAAAAAUUAAAACAGUAGUUUGAUAUGUGGACAGAGAUUCAUGGGAAGAAAAUGACAAAUUGGGUUUGCCUAAACAUGUUGGAAAUGGCAUGCAUGAAGAUCCCAAGCAAGAAAAUCAUGAGAGAAAGAGACAGAGAUGGUAAAGAAAAUAUAUACAGCGUGGUACAGGGUGCAAAGAUGCAGGAAAACCAGAGGAUAAUAUAAGAAAAUGAUGAGGCUUCAUAGGAUUAUAGAAGAAACCACUGACCUCUAAAUAAAUAUAAAUGCAUGCCUUCGUGGCUGCGGAGCCAAGAUUUUAAAUGGACCCAAACAUGGAUCAUGCUUUAUCAACACUAGCAGUUUUCUGCUGGCCAUUGUCUGUGCCUCCCCUGCAAUCUGCACAUGACCACCAGACCCAUCUAUAUAAUCUGCAGAGAUAUAACUAUAUAUAUUUGUGUGUGUGUGUGUUUUUUAUUUAUUU
rnacentral:lncRNA from 1 species